GAUGAACGCUGGCGGCGUGCCUAAUACAUGCAAGUCGAGCGAACAGAUGAGGAGCUUGCUCCUCUGACGUUAGCGGCGGACGGGUGAGUAACACGUGGAUAACCUACCUAUAAGACUGGGAUAACUUCGGGAAACCGGAGCUAAUACCGGAUAAUAUCUUGAACCGCAUGGUUCAAUAGUGAAAGACGGUUUUGCUGUCACUUAUAGAUGGAUCCGCGCCGCAUUAGCUAGUUGGUAAGGUAACGGCUUACCAAGGCAACGAUGCGUAGCCGACCUGAGAGAGUGGUCGGCGGCACUGGAGCUGAGACACGGACCAGACGACUACGGGAGGGAGCAGUAGGGAAUCGUCCGCAGUGGGCGAAAGCCUGACGGAGCAACGGCGAGUGAGUGAUGAAGGUCUUCGGAGCGUAAUACUCUGUUAUUAGGGGAGAACAAAUGUGGAAGUAGCUAUGCACGUCUUGACGGUACCUAAUCAGAAAGCAACGGCUAACUACGUG
rnacentral:rRNA from 1 species